rnacentral:rRNA from 1 species
UACGUAGGGGGCAAGCGUUGUCCGGAUUUAUUGGGCGUAAAGAGCGUGUAGGCGGCCAUACAGGUCAGCUGUGAAAACUCGAGGCUCAACCUCGAGACGUCGGUUGAAACCGUAUGGCUAGAGUCCGGAAGAGGAGAGUGGAAUUCCCGGUGUAGCGGUGAAAUGCGCAGAUAUCGGGAAGAACACCAAUUGCGAAGGCAGCUCGCUGGAACGUAACUGACGCUGAGACGCGAAAGCGUGGGGAGCAAACAGG